rnacentral:rRNA from 1 species
UACAGAGGGUGCAAGCGUUGUUCGGAAUUACUGGGCGUAAAGGGCUCGUAGGUGGCCAACUAAGUCGGACGUGAAAUCCCUCAGCUUAACUGGGGAACUGCAUCUGAUACUGGAUGGCUUGAGAUUGGGAGAGGGAUGCGGAAUUCCAGGUGUAGCGGUGAAAUGCGUAGAUAUCUGGAGGAACACCGGUGGCGAAGGCGGCAUCCUGGACCAACACUGACACUGAGGAGCGAAAGCCAGGGGAGCAAACGGG